GUGCCUUUUGGUUCGGAACAACUCAGGAAACUUGAGCUAAUACCGGAUAAGCCUUUCGAGGGAAAGAUUUAUCGCCAUUAGAGCGGCCCGCGUAGGAUUAGCUAGUUGGUGGGGUAAAGGCCCACCAAGGCUACGAUCCUUAGCUGGUCUGAGAGGAUGAUCAGCCACAUUGGGACUGAGACACGGCCCAAACUCCUACGGGAGGCAGCAGUGGGAAUCUUGCGCAAUGGGCGAAAGCCUGACGCAGCCAUGCCGCGUGAAUGAUGAAGGUCUUAGGAUUGUAAAAUUCUUUCACCGGGGACGAUAAUGACGGUACCCGGAGAAGAAGCCCCGGCUAACUUCGUGCCAGCAGCCGCGGUAAUACGAAGGGGGCUAGCGUUGCUCGGAAUUACUGGGCGUAAAGGGAGCGUAGGCGGAUAGUUUAGUCAGAGGUGAAAGCCCAGGGCUCAACCUUGGAAUUGCCUUUGAUACUGGCUAUCUUGAGUACGGAAGAGGUAUGUGGAACUCCGAGUGUAGAGGUGAAAUUCGUAGAUAUUCGGAAGACACCAGUGGCGAAGGCGACAUACUGGUCCGUUACUGA
rnacentral:rRNA from 1 species